rnacentral:rRNA from 1 species
GAUGAACGCUGGCGGCGUGCCUAAUACAUGCAAGUCGAGCGAACGGACGAGAAGCUUGCUUCUCUGAUGUUAGCGGCGGACGGGUGAGUAACACGUGGAUAACCUACCUAUAAGACUGGGAUAACUUCGGGAAACCGGAGCUAAUACCGGUUAAUAUUUUGAACCGCAUGGUUCAAAAGUGAAAGACGGUCUUGCUGUCACUUAUAGAUGGAUCCGCGCUGCAUUAGCUAGUUGGUAAGGUAACGGCAUACCAAGGCAACGAUGCAUAGCCGACCUGAGAGGGUGAUCGGCCACACUGGAACUGAGACACGGUCCAGACUCCUACGGGAGGCAGCAGUAGGGAAUCUUCCGCAAUGGGCGAAAGCCUAACGGAGCAACGCCGCGGGAGUAAUGACGGUCUUCGGAUCGUAAAACUCUGUUGUUAGGGGAGAACAUAUGUGUAAGUAACUGUGCACAACUUGACGGUACCUAAUCAAAAAGCCACGGCUAACUACGUG